rnacentral:rRNA from 1 species
GGGUUUGGAUUCCUAUCAUUCCAAUCACUAGAAAUGAAAUUUCCAGUGUUGUUAUUUCUUGUCACUACCUCCCUGAAUCAGGAUUGGGUAAUUUGCGCGCCUGCUGCCUUCCUUAGAUGUGGUAGCCGUUUCUCAGGCUCCCUCUCCGGAAUCGAACCCUAAUUCCCCGUUACCCGUCACUGCCACGGUAGUCCAAUACAGUACCGCCGAAAGCUGAUAGGUCAGAAACUUGAAUGAUCCGUCGCAGACCGAAGUCAACGCGAUCCGUUCGGUUACUAUGAAUCACCUGAGGACCACCGGAAGGUGGGUUGGUUCUGUAUCUAAUAAACACUGCCCUUCCAGGGGAAGAGGCAUGUGCGCAUGUAUUAGCCAUAGAAUUACCACGGUUAUCCAUGUAGUAAAGACCAUCAAAUAAACUAUAACUGUUUUAAUGAGCCAUUCGCAGUUUAGCCGUAUAAAAGCUUAUACUUAGACAUGCAUGGCUUAAUCUUUAAGACAAGCAUAUGA